GAGACAGAGAGAGAUUGAUCAGAGAGAGGUUGCAACGAGAAAGCUUUGCGAUCUUCCAUGGAUGCAGAUUCCGAUCAGUUUAUGUUUAACGGUUUCCUUGAGAAAAGAUGAUUUGUUAAAUGACAAUGGAGAACUCGUUUCUACUACUCAGCAUGCUCUCUCUGAAUACCAGAGUGACUGAAUUUUCACCACUUGCUCUGCUUGCUUCAUCCUCCCCUAAAAGAGUCUCUAUUCAAGCAAGCUGCAUAUGGCGUAGAGGUUGAGUGAAUAUAGGAGCUUAGAAUCUGGAGUAUCCAACGUUUCUGUACGCCAUUGUCUACGACAAAGAUGAGUAUUCUUCUCUCCUUCUAUUACAGUCGUCACCACGACAGUUCUGUUGCUCAUCAGCGGAAUCCCUUGAAAGAGACAUGUCUAGCCUGAAAGAUGUCAGGACCUUUAAUUUUCUAAGAAAAAAGAAGAAGUUCAUGUUAAGAUUAGAUACACUCGGAAUCCGAAUUCUAAAGACUUAUCAGGAGGAAUGGUCUUAUAUCCCUGUCGGUGGUUCCUUGGCUUUGGUGCUGCAGGCUAUUCAGUUGUGAGAUCUUUGUUAGAAGCUCCAAAAUACGCGUCAGUCAUCGCGGAUAUACUAAAACAUGAUACUACUUCCUUCACCAAACACAUCAAAAAAGAUGAUUUGUUAAGUGACAAUGGAGAACUCGUUUCUACUCAGCAUGCUCUCUCUCUCUCUCUGAAUACCAUAGUGACUGAAUUUUCACCACUUGCUCUUGCUUCAUAUGGUUUACCAGAAGCAUAAAAUUCUUUGUUCAAUGAGAGUUAUUAUCAUUAAGCCCUUGUCUAGAAUACAGACUCAUCGAGUAUACUUGUGCGUUUUAUAGGUAUCUUCCCUCAGGGAUUAACUCACCGCCGAGUCAUGAGAUCGAAUUUUGCAGGAGCAAUUGGCGAUAGGACAAAAAAAAGAAUAUGCACCAUGGACUCUAAAAUGGCAGAGUCUAUGUCAGACCAUGGAACUCUAAAAUGGGAGAGACAUAACGAGAGUCCUUUCAGCCAGGUAUCUUGACAUCAUUCUACAGCUGAACUAUAUCUGGAUAUGAGAAAGAGUACAAGCAAGAUCCACGAUGAGACUAUAUUCCACUUGUGGGAGCAGUUAUGAAAACUAAAAUUUUACAGAAACUACAAAAGUGAGAGAAUUAACUUCAUACAGUGAGGUGAUGAAAAAUGGUGCAGCAUAGGUGUGCCGAGUCAGGUGUCUCAUAUCUUUGCUUGAAAUUUGAGAGCAUAACAGAAGCUCCUGAUGGCCUUAGGCUCGUUGCCUGUCAAAAACAAAAUACACCGUUGUUCCGUGAGUGGAAUCAGUGAUAUGGCUUGCCAUUGUUGCUUCUGGAGCAGCUCUUGCAGUACGAAGUUGGAGGACCUAAAAGUCUCUAUUCAAGCAAGCUGCAUAUGGCGUAGAGAGAGCAUAGGAGGUUAGAAUCUGAGUAUCCAACGUUUCUGUACGCCAUUGUCUACGAUAAAGAUGAGUAUUCUUCUCUCCUUCUAUUACAAUGAAAAUUCUGUUGCUCAUUAGCUGGAAUCCCUUGAAGGAGACAUGUCUAGCCUGAAAGAUGUCAGGACCUUUAAUUUUCUAAAAAAAGAAGAAAUUCAUGUUAAGAUUAGAUACACUUGGAAUCCGAAUUCUAAAGACUUAUCAAGAGGAAUGGUCUUAUAUCCCAGUCGGUGUUUCCUUGCCUUUGGUGCUGCAGCUAGCACGGUACAUCCCUCAACAGGUUAUUCAGUUGUGAGAUCUUUGUCAAAAGCUCCAAAAUACGCUUCAGUCAUCGCGGAUAUACUAAAACAUGAUACUACUUCCUUCACCAAACAUGAUACUCCUCCCGGUGAUGUGUUGGUUUUAGCAAGAAACGUGCACCAAAGCUGAUGAAAAAUGUUUACAUGUACCAAACCGAAUAAGUGUGCCAGAGAGUGGGAAGUGCAAGCAGAACUUGCAUCAUUUCACCAUUCAGAUAUGGUAUUCAGUCUCCUUCUUCAUAUCCAUUCUUACAUUUUUCUCUUAUGGUAUGAAGUUAUCAUUCUCUUUCUUUUUUUCGCAGUAGUAAAUUCCAUAGCCAAUUUAAUACGUACACUCGAAAUCACAACGGCUAUGCUAUCCACAUAAAGUGUGAUCGUUGUAGUUUUGGAAACACACAUUCAUGGGUUCAUGCAUACAUACAUUCAUUUAUAUUUCCUUCUUGGUCAA